GUCGAGAAUCUUUCACAAUGGGGGCAACCCUGAUGGAGCGACGCCGCGUGGAGGAUAAGGUCUUCGGAUUGUAAACUCCUGUCAUGCGUGAACAAGGUUGCUUGGUUAAUACCUGGGCAAAUUGAUGGUAGCGCAAGAGGAAGAGACGGCUAACUCUGUGCCAGCAGCCGCGGUAAUACAGAGGUCUCAAGCGUUGUUCGGAAUCACUGGGCGUAAAGGGUGCGUAGGUGGCGUGGCAAGUCAGAUGUGAAAGCCCGGGGCUCAACCUCUGAGCGGCAUCCGAUACUGCCAUGCUAGAGUACUGGAGGGGUGACUAGAAUUCUCGGUGUAGCAGUGAAAUGCGUAGAUAUCGAGAGGAAUACCAAAGGCGUAGGCAGGUCACUGGACAGUUACUGACACUGAGGCACGAAGGCCAGGGGAGCGAACGGGAUUAGAUACCCGUGUAGUCC
rnacentral:rRNA from 1 species